GUAAGGACUCAAGAGCGAUGCAGAGUCAGUUGCUUUUCUGCUGGACAAGUAAGUACUCCUGCUUUAUGUUUCAUUCUGUUUUAACCACAAGGCUAAGGUGGCAGUGGUUACAGUAAUACUCGCAAUAGCACAUAUGGCCAUACAAUGUUGCAGUUGAGCUACGUAGCCUGCUAAAUCUAGCUUGUUAGCUUGUAUGCUAACUCCAGUGUUUAGCUCUGUCUUUAUAGCUACUGGUUUGAAGAGAGUGUCUUUCAAGUGACUGUGAAGUUAGAACAUUAGUUUGUGUUCAGUACGCUCUGAAGUGGUUGAAUUGGUUUAGAGAGAUAACGUUACUCAUGCUUCACUUUCUAAUCGGAAUCCACAACCACACCGGAACAAUCUGGUGAACAGACCACAGGAGGUAAGUGUUUUGUCUCCUCUAACAGCCGGGGUGCUUUCUGACAAACAACCAUCAGUGGUGUCCCCUCUCUGACGCCAGCAGUUGAUAACUGAGAUAAGCAAUUCAGAUACGAUUCCAUGUAAUCUUCGCCUUGCUGCCUGUGCUGUAAGACGGUUUUACGGUACAGUCUAUCAGUGCUAUUGCUACAGGAGCAAGACAAUAUCCUCUGAUAUAAAGAUUGUUUCAUGGUUCCUGUCAUGUGUGUCUUCUUUCAUUUCUGUGUUUUUGUGGUAACUUCUGCUCAGUUUCCCACCUGUUUGCUUGCACUCGUCACCAGUCUGCUUUCCCUCCACAGCUGUGUUGCAUCCAUUACCCCUUCGCUGUUCCUGGUGUUUUUUUCUAACCUUUCCAGUUUUCGUCCUGCCCGAUCUUGUUGUGUUUCCCUGCGUUUGGAUCCACCUUGGUUGAUUCAAAGUUAACAAGCAGAAGUAAUGUUGAGUGAAGUCUGUUUAUGUCCCGUGAUCCAGUCAACAGUACACAGUAGUAAAAUAUAAAACCAUACCAACAGAUUUCAGCUUGGUUGUGAACAGACUGUGUUUGAUGUGUCUUCACACUGCCUUACUGUAGCUGAAGGCUGGAGUAACAAAGAAAAAAAAUCCAAUUCCAGUAAUUUACAAAAUAUCCUCCUGAUCUAAUCUCUUAUUGCUCUCCAUGUGGCUCUGACUCACUGCUCACACAGUUGGUGUAGACGCUGCCCUACAUUCAUGCAUUUAGGACUGCGAUUUACGACAUGGAUUCUCCCGAGCACAAACCCUGAGUGUGAUUUAUAAAGACAGAGAGCAAAAUGACAAAUGGAACUAAAGCUGGCAGAGGUCGUAAUUCUUGGCAUUUGUUUUUGCCAAGAACCAGAGCUGUGCCAGGUAAGUGGAGUUACUACAUCAUAGACCUCAGCGACUCUCCAACGAUGACAGUCAUUUUCAAAAGUUAUUUCCAAACACUUUGCGCGCUCUGUGGAGUCCCCCAUGUCUAAUAUGAUUGAUUUAGUGACUCUUAAGACUGCGAGGAGACAUAGGAGGAAGAGAAUGCUGCUCUUGUCUGUCAUCCAGGCCUAUCAGUUCCCUGCUACACAUCAGCAUCAUCAUCCAGCUCCCUCCGGAGAACCAGAAACAUUAAUCAUCACAUGGUGUUGUCGAGGUAAACCACAAGCCAAUCAACGCUUCAGCAUCUCUGCUCCAUUUUUUCCAUGAGCCUGCCUGGAGCCAAGGAGCAAGACAAGUUCCACUCCGCCGAGGAGAUCAGCGUGUGCGAUUGGAUUCAAGUGAACUUCAACCGGAAGCAAAUUCCUAACACAGGAGCUUUAAGUCUUUGAUCAACACUACAAGUCUGAUGCCAAGAUGUGACACAGCAUCCUGUGACGGACGGAUGGACGGACGGACUGGAAAAGCAAAAGAAUUUCUGAUACAAGAUAAUUGGAGUAAGGACAGGAGGAUGUUCGAGUCAUAACCCCGACUGGUUGAUCCCAGAGCGGUUCGGUUACUUCAGGUCUGGCAGAGUUGUGGUUGAAAGAGGGGAAAUAGCAGUGCAGCUCUGGGCCCAAUGCCAUUUAAGACAAUAGGGCUUCUCAGAGAUGGAGCUUCCUUGAAUUGUGCUCGGUUUCCAUACAGUGAAUGAAAACACGAGCCCCUCAGAGGUGGUUUUUCCAUCAUGGCCGGCCUGCUACAGAGUUCCCAUCAGAGUGUCACAGCUGUUACGUCAGGGAAAGCUCACCCUGAACUUACAGGAUGUAAAACGCAAGGAGGUGCCUGCUUUAUACUUAAUGUGUUUUUGUGCACAAAUUAAGGGCAAGGAUGCAUUAGCCAGGGAUGGAAUGUAAUCAGUCAAUAUACUCAAGUACUGUACUGAAGUAGUAUUUGCUUCUUUUGCUACUUAAUGAUUCCACUCCACUGUAUUUUCCAGGUUUGGGGCAUGUUUGUAGGCAUUUUCCUGCCAGUACCACCACAACAGCAUUUUACAGAACCUACAUGUAGAUAUAUGUAUCAUUUAUUUUACAUGUACUUUUGAUACUUAAGUAAAUUCAAUACCAGAUACUUUAAGACGUUUGCUCAAUUACUUUUUAUAUGGGUGACUUACUGUUUAACCAAAGUGAUAUCUUAACAUGGUAUCUACUUUUACUCAAGUUUGACUUUUUAAUACUUUAUACAACAGUGUCAACUAACAUGUUUCACUGAAGGUGUGUGGAAAUGGCUGGAAAACUUAAAUAUUAUGCAUACCAGACAUACUUGUUUUUUGGGUUUGAUGUUGUCCUAUAUUUCAACGCACAAAUAAAGAUGGAGAGGGGCUGCUCACAGGUGCACAAGAUAAAAACAAACUGUGAAUGGUAAUGUAGAGUACAGCUCCAAAACUCCUCAGGAAAAGAACAACAGUAUGUGGAAAAACUUUCUUUCUCUUUGUUAAUUGGAUUUUGCAGUGUUCUUUACUUGUCUUAAUUAUUUCCCCUUAAUGAAAAAAAGGGUAUAACAUGUUGGUCAUAGUCUGGAUACUAUAGUGUGUAGAAAACAGUAUAUGGACCUGUAGUGUGGAUCCAUCUUACAGCUCUUCUCUCAGUUAGCAGGAUGAAAGGUCCUGCACAUCCACACAGCUGGUGUAAGUUACUGAUGAAAUCUCUGCUAAGGCCAGAUCUAUGAUUGGAAGUGCAUGAGGUCACCACCGACCCUUUUAACAGAAGAAAUGUCAAAGUGGUAAAAGUACAGGUGUAAUUAAUAAAAGAAAAAAUGUAUGCAUUCAAUUUAAGGAAGAAUGUUCUAGUGUCCCGUACUUUGCAUACUGGCUCACUGUAGGGGUCACCGGGACUUUUAAUGGGAACAUCAUUAAUGUUAUUAGUUUCACCUGUGCUAUUCUGGUUAAGGCAAGUCAGAAUGUCUGUUGUAGAAAAUGUCACAUUUCAUGAUUUUCUACAUGACUGGAUGUUGAUUUCAUUGGCUGCAUUAAAGCCUGAGGGCCCUGGCAGCACCCACUAGACCUGUAAGGAGGUUCUGCUGUUGUACAGGGUGCACAAAAAUAGAGAGAAAGAAGUGUUAAUAAAGCUGUUUGAACAUACACAGUAAGGUUAGGCGAACAACUGUGUAGGCAGACCAUUAGGGGCUUUAAUUAGUAAUGAAACAACUCUGCUGCAUUAUACUGUAUGAUUGUGAUUGAGCUGAUUCUCAGUUAGUUAUAGUGAAAUUAAUGAAAAGAGAAAGAUCAUUUAAAGUGCAGUUUAUUGCUUGGACAGGAAAGUACAUGGCACAUAAAACAAAAGAAUGAAACAAAACAGUUUUAUGUGAAGCAAUUUCCAGUGUUUUUUCCUGAAUUAAAGUUCUUGGUAACUGCAGCAAGAGCCAUCAUUCUCUCUGCCAUCAUUCCUAUACAACAACUUUACAGUGUUUAUGUCCAUCUGGAGCCCAGUGGAUGAUCUAAGUAGACUUGGAUGAAAACUUGCUUCCAUGUGUUAAUUUCUCUGCCAAUUCUUUAGUCAAUACAGAAGGAGAUAUUCUGUUCUGCACUCUAUUGUUAGUUUGUUCAGCUUUUCCCCCUUUGAUUUAUACUGAAUGUAUUUAUUUUUUAUAUUGCUUUUAAUAAUCACAUCUAUGAUUUUACAGUGGAUCUUCUUACCAUACACAUGAAGGACACUAAUAGAACAAAUUCAGUCAUAUACUUGUCAAUAUACCACAAUUUAAUACCAGGGCUCUAGAUAGCAAUAGUUGACACAGGUGUACUUUUUAACUGGGAACUGGUGGUAUAAACUUGAAGGUUUGACAUUGUUUUGUUCUCCUAAAUGCACUGAAAUUACUAAUACGCCUCCUUAGACGACAUACAAUAAACAACUACAGUAGGUGGGGGCCUGUAGCCAAAAAAAAGAGAAUGAAACUGCUGCAUAAUGAUUUUGAUUGCAAAUAAUACUAUUGAUUUUAGUUUGAUCUGGAAUACAGUGUACUGGAAAAAGAUCAACGCCAAACCUGGUUAAUAUUGCUUAUCAUACUGCUGCAUAGAGGAGAGUGAAUAUCAGUAGUAUGAAGGAAGCAGUACAAGGUGGCACAUUAAAUCAACAUUCACAGCUAAAAUAACAGCGCUAAUACCGUGAGACACAGGUUUAAGGUUAGCAAAAAAAAAA